rnacentral:rRNA from 1 species
UACGUAGGGGGCUAGCGUUGUCCGGAAUCAUUGGGCGUAAAGAGCGUGUAGGCGGUCCGGUAAGUCCGUUGUGAAAGUCAAGGGCUCAACCCUUGAAUGCCGGCGGAUACUGUCGGGCUAGAGUCCGGAAGAGGCAAGUGGAAUUCCCGGUGUAGCGGUGAAAUGCGCAGAUAUCGGGAGGAACGCCUAUGGCGAAGGCAGCUUGCUGGGACGGUACUGACGCUGAGACGCGAAAGCGUGGGGAGCAAACAGG